UACGUAGGGCGCAAGCGUUGUCCGGAAUUAUUGGGCGUAAAGAGCUCGUAGGCGGCUUGUCACGUCGAUUGUGAAAGCCCGGGGCUUAACUCCGGGUCUGCAGUCGAUACGGGCUAGCUAGAGUGUGGUAGGGGAGAUCGGAAUUCCUGGUGUAGCGGUGAAAUGCGCAGAUAUCAGGAGGAACACCGGUGGCGAAGGCGGGUCUCUGGGCCGAAAUUGACGCUGAGGAGCGAAAGCGUGGGGAGCGAACAGG
rnacentral:rRNA from 1 species